rnacentral:rRNA from 1 species
GACCAGACUCCUACGGGAGGCAGCAGUGGGGGAUAUUGCACAAUGGGGGAAACCCUGAUGCAGCGACGCCGCGUGGGCGAAGAAGUAUUUCGGUAUGUAAAGCCCUAUCAGCAGGGAAGAAGAAAUGACGGUACCUGAGUAAGAAGCACCGGCUAAAUACGUGCCAGCAGCCGCGGUAAUACGUAGGGAGCGAGCGUUGUCCGGAAUUACUGGGUGUAAAGGGCGUGUAGGCGGGAAAGCAAGUCAGAUGUGAAAACCAUGGGCGCAACCUGUGGCCUGCAUUUGAAACUGUUUUUCUUGAGUACUGGAGAGGCAGACGGAAUUCCUAGUGUAGCGGUGAAAUGCGUAGAUAUUAGGAGGAACACCAGUGGCGAAGGCGGUCUGCUGGACAGCAACUGACGCUGAGGCGCGAAAGCGUGGGGAGCAAACAGGAUUAGAUACCCGCGUAA